ensembl:lncRNA
AAUCACCAUAAGUGAUUCUAGUGCAUCUCCAAGAUUAAGGAGCACCCCUGUUCCAAAUUAUGAUCAGUGAUUUAGACCAUUAGUUCAAUGCUUGCAAACUUGGCUGCACUUUAGAAACACCAAGGGACUUACUAUCACUUUCACUCUCAGGGACUCUAGGAGUGCAGCUUGAUGACCAGGACUUUGAAAAUCUCCCUGGAUGACUCUUCUGUGCAGCCAGGAUUUCUGAUCUAGAGAAUAACGGGAGCUUUGACAUGUGGCAGGGGUGGUAGAGGACCCUUCAAGGGACAAGUCAGCCAAGGAGUAAGGAUAGUGUCUUAGUCCAUUUUGUGUUACAAUAAAACACGCCACAACUGUAUUUUCUACAGAAAAGAAGCUUAUUUAGCUCACAACUCUGGUGGCUAGAAAGUCCAAACAGCAUGGUGUAAGUGACUUGCAGGAGCCCCUGGAUAUACUGUAACAUAGCAGGUGGGGGCUUGCUGUGUUUGCUAGGCUGGUCUUGAACUUGUGGGCUCAAGUGAUCUUCCUGCGUCAGCCUCUCAAGUAGCUGGGACUACAGGCCCAUGAAGUAUGCUGCUGGGAUUUCAAUUGGGAUCACAUUGAAUCUAUGUAGCAAUUUUGAUGUUCAACAUUCCAAAGACUGCCUUACAAUUGGCAUUUUGGAAUUGUUUGAGAUGAAAAGAGCUUCUCUCCAUUUAUGAGUGUUCCUCAGACCUGCUAUGUCAAAGAAUUCUGCUGCUCUGGAUUCAGGAAUAUUAAGAAGGAGUGCUUACAGACUUCAUCUAGAAGUUGAAUUUUCCUACAUUCCAUCACAGGUUCGUGGUACAGGACACAGAAGCAUAGCUGCCAAUCUGACGACUGCCAAGUGGUGUUGCUUGGAGGAGGCCUAGAUGGAGUGACCAGAUGAGUCUCUCCAGUCUUCCUAACCAAUGAUCCUAUUUUAUUUUGAUUUUGCUGCCUUCAAUUAUGUCACUGUUCAAUUAUGUCACAUUUUGCUAUGCCAAAAUGCUAUGUAAAGCUAUCCUUUGCUGGUGUGGGUUAUUUCUGGAAGUUGAGUUGCUGGCGCUCCUCACAGGGCUCCAGGCUGCAACUUCCUCCGGAGUCCACCAGCAGAAACCACCAGCUGGAGCUCCAGGUUGGUGGCUUUUGAAAGGCCUCAACCAAAUUGAAUUCCAUAGUUUCUUAGGAGUAAUGUCUCUCCAGAGACAUUGAGACAAAUAGCAUUUUCUGUGUCUACUAUGAAAUCAUUGGGUUUUUGGAAGACAACAGUGUUACUGGUGGUCAGUUUGGUGACUUUCACUUGUAUAAACUUGUGCCAUAGGAGUCCUCCUGCAGGGCGACUGCCUGGUUGGUGGGGCUCACUCCUUUCUGAGGGGGCCAACCAACAGAACCUUGCUGGGGUUUUCUCAAAGCCAAGUCAUUGGGUUUGUGCUUGGGUGAAAUAUUAUGUUGUGCUCUAUCAGCUCUAUAUCUGAGUGUAGAUCGAAUAUGCUUUCUCUCAGUCCAUUCACGUGGAAUGUUUUUCAUGUUUCUAUUCUUCUGACUCCUAAAAACAUGGAAAUAAAAGUCAUAUAGGAGUCUUAUCUUUUAUUUACUUAUUAAACAAAUAACUACAUAGGCACCUCUUAUAAAUAAAUAAAUAAGCUCUGAGCUCCUUUGAGAGAUCAUUCAAGGCCAGGUGUGGAGACCAGCUACCCUCAGUCAGUGUGAGCCUGAGGCUGGCAAGUCCACACCAGCCUCUCCUGUCUGCCAACCCAGAAACAGGAUCCCAUGGAUACUCAGCCCAUCUUCCUUGGACGUCUUCCACUCCAUCUUGUCUUUAACUUUCUUGGC